CAGCAGUACUUUUGAGCUCAUCAACGUCAUCAAGGAAGAGGCCUUGACAAGGGACGGCCCCACAUUGUGCAUGAUGAGUAUGGCGCGGUUUCAGCAGGAAUGCUGUGUGCUCUUACCACCUUGUCCCAGCAACUGGAGAAUGAAAAUGCCGUGGAUGUUUUCCAGGUUGCAAAAAUGAUCAAUCUGAUGAGGCCUGGAGUAUUUACAGACAUUGAACAGUACCAGUUUGUCUACAAAGCGAUGCUCAGCUUGGUCAGCACUAAAGAGAAUGGAAAUGGCCCCAUGACAGUGGACAGAAACGGCGCCGCUCUCACCGCGGACGAGUCGGACCCUGCCGAGAGCAUGGAGUCGCUGGUGUGACUGGAAUCGUGAAAGAAUGCUUCAUUUGUAAACCUUCUGAAGACUGAGAACUUUCUUGAGGCCUUUUUUUUGCCAGACUCUAGGUCUAGGUUAUAUGAUAACCCAGUUACUUUUUUACACUGAUAAAAGUUUUGAUAUUUAUUUUUUGCCAUUUUAUGUCUUAAUGGUAUCCUACUGAGCAUUUGCACCUCUGUUCAUUUCCCACAGUGAAACACGGUUUUACCUAGUUUGCACUGCCUGAUCAGUGUUACUGCCUAUAAUCUGAUACUACAGCAAACCCUGACAUGACAUUCCACGACACCAUACAUGCUACUUUUUAAUUCAGUAUAGUGAAGGUCUUUGUUAUGACAGUGACUCUUGAUUUUUUUUUUUCAGUUAUUACUCUUGCUAAAGCAGCUGCAUCCUCCUAGCAGGCAAUGCUGUCCUCUUCCUCAGUCCUCUCCUAUUUUUUAAGGCACUGCUCAGUACUUCUGUAUGCCUUCUGUGUUUUAAUGGAGUGGAUGAGCGCUGUUUUCUUUUUAAAGAAUAGUGGCGGCGGGGGGCUCCUCUGAAGGCCUGUCCAUGUCAUGGCCUUGAGAGAGUCCCAUUUGUGAUGGUGAAGGUGUCCAUUAAGAAACAAGAAGGUUGAAGAGUCAUCUGAUGUGAACAUCACUUCCUAGUUUCAAAGUUAUAUUCCUAGCUUUAAAAAAUGCCCAACUGUGUCAAAAUAAAGGAUAUCUCUGUAUUACAGUUUUCACAGUA